AUCCUUUUAUUGGUUCGUAAGUGUGAUGAUUGGCUGUCCACGCACUUGCGUGACAUGUGCCUCCCACAGCCUUGUCACAGCGGUGACACGUGACCCACCGACG